rnacentral:lncRNA from 1 species
AUGACUACUGCUGCUGCUGUUACUACUACUGCUUCUGUUACUACUACUACUGCUGCUGAUCGUACAACUGCUGCUGCUGCUGCUGUUACUACUACUGCUGCUGUUACUACUACUGCUUCUGUUACUACUACUACUGCUGCUGAUCGUACAACUGCUGCUGCUGCUGCUGUUGCUACUACUGCUGCUGCUACUACUGUUACUACUACUGCUGCUGCUACUACUGUUACUACUACUGCUUCUGUUACUAUUACUACUACUACUGUUACUACUGCUGCUGUUACUACUACUGCUGCUGUUACUACUACUGCUGCUGCUGUUACUACUACUGCUUCUGCUGCUGUUACUACUACUGCUGCUGUUACUAUUACUACUGCUGCUGUUACUACUACUGCUACUGCUGUUACUACUACUGCUGCUGUUACUACUACUACUGCUGCUGUUACUACUACUGCUACUGCUGUUACUACUACUGCUGCUGUUACUAUGACUACUGCUGCUGCUGUUACUACUACUGCUGCUACUACUGCAACUACUGUUACUACUACUGUUGCUGUUACUACUACUGCUGCUGUUACUACCGCUACUACUGCAACUACUGUUACUACUACUGCUGCUGCUGCUGUUACCAUUACUGCUGCUGUUUUUACUACUACUGCUGCUGUUACUUCUUCUGCUGCUACUGCUGUUACUACUACUGCUGCUGUUACUACUACUACUGCUGCUAAUGUUACUACUACUGCUGUUUUUACUACUACUGCUGCUGUUACUUCUUCUGCUGCUACUGCUGUUACUACUACUGCUGCUGUUACUACUACUACUGCUGCUAAUGUUACUACUACUGCUGCUGCUGCUGUUACUACUACUGCUGCUAAUGUUACUACUACUGAUGCUGCUGCUGUUACCACUAAUACUGCUGCUGUUACUUCUACUACGGAUGAUGUUACUACUACUACUGCUGCUGCUGCUGUUACUAUUACUGCUGCUACUGUUACUAAAGUUACUACUACUACUGCUGUUACUACUACUACUGCUGCUGCUGUUACUACUGCUACUACUGUUACUACUACUUCUGCUGUUACUACUACUGCUGCUGUUACUACUACUCCUGCUGCUGCAGUUACUACUGCUACUACUACUGCUGCUGUUACUACUGUUACUACUACUGCUACUACUACUACUACUACUGCUACUACUGCUACUACUGUUACUACUACUGCUGCUGUUACUACUACUACUACUGCUGCUGUUACUAUUACUGCUGAUGUUACUACUACUACUACUACUACUGCUGCUGUUACUAUUACUGCUGCUGUUACUACUACUAUUGCUACUGUUGUUACUAUUACUGCUGCUGCUGCUAUUACUGCUGCUGUUACUACUACUACUACUACUGCUGCUGUUACUACUACUACUACUACUGCUGCUGAUGCUGUUACUACUACUACUACUACUGCUGCUGUUACUACUACUACUACUACUGCUGCUGUUACUACUACUACUACUACUGCUGCUGAUGCUGUUACUAUUGCUGCUGCUGCUGCUGUUACUACUACUAUUGCUACUGUUGUUACUAUUACUGCUGCUGCUGCUAUUACUGCUGCUGUUACUACUACUACUACUACUGCUGCUGUUACUACUACUACUACUACUACUACUGCUGCUGAUGCUGUUACUAUUGCUGCUACUACUGCUGUUACUACUACUGCUGCUGUUACUACUACUACUGCUGCUGUUACUACUACUGCUGCUGUUACUACUACUACUACUACUGCUGCUGUUACUACUACUACUACUACUGCUGCUGAUGCUGUUACUAUUGCUGCUACUACUGCUGUUACUACUACUGCUGCUGUUACUACUACUACUGCUGCUGUUACUACUACUGCUGCUGUUACUACUACUGCUGCUGCUGUUACUACUACUGCUGCUGUUACUACUACUACUGCUGCUGUUACUACUACUACUGCUGUUACUACUACUGCUGCUGUUACUACUACUACUGCUGCUGUUACUACUACUGCUGCUGUUACUACUACUACUGCUGCUGUUACUACUACUGCUGCUGUUACUACUACUGCUGCUGCUGUUACUACUACUGCUGCUGCUGGUGUUACUACUACUGCUGCUGCUGCUGUUACUACUACUGCUGCUGUUACUACUACUGCAACUACUGUUGCUACUGCAACUACUGUUACUACUGCUACUGCUGUUACUACUGCUGCUCCUGCUGCUACUUUUACUACUACUAGUACUGCUGCUACUACUACUACUUCUACUACUACUACUACUACUACUGCUACUACUGCUACUACUGCUAUUACUGCUACUACUACUACUAGUAGUACUAUUACUGCUACUACUACUACUAUUACUGCUACUGUUACUACUACUACUACUGCUACUGUUACUACUACUACUACUUCUACUUCUACUACAACUACUACUACUACUACUACUACUGCUACUGUUACUACUACUACCACUACUUCUACUACUACUAUUACUACUACUACUUCUACUACUACUACUGCUACUACCCCUGCUGCUGCUACUCCUGUGGCUACUGCUGCUCUUACUAGGUUUUGA